CACAGCCCCAAUGCCAGCCUCUUCUCGCAAAAAAUAAAUAAAGAAUGCCAGCUCUUCCAUUGCUCUCUCCUCCUCCUCGAUGGUGAACAGCGGGGGCACGCUUCUGCUCACUUUCUCCUCGCACCGUCUCCCCGAUCCGCCUGGGAGCCACCUGCACACAGCCGACUCGCUCUCCUUUGCCUCAGCUCGCCGUCCUCCUGCCGUCGCUCAGUGGCGAGACCACCACGACGCCGCUCGCUCUCCUCCCGUCGACCUCCUCCUCUCCUAGAUCUCUGCAGAGUGCCUCCUCCUGGACGACCUCGCGUGUGCGGUGCCCGCCGCUUCACAUAUCAGCGCAGCCACCUUGCUGCCGUCCGGGAGAGCCUCCCGACAGCAGUCGCUGGCCUCCCCAUUCUCCCCCGCGCCUGGCUUCCCUCCGCCUCGCCCUGCUUCCGUCACGCCGCCUCCGCGCCAGCAAGUCCCGACACCGGCGAGCCACUGCCCUUUGGGUGAAGCGGUGCUCCCGCGUAUGCACCUGUGGCGGGCCGGCUGGUUGAUUAGGCGCGCACUGCGGCCUCGGCUUCAAUUUUUGACUGGUUAGUCCUCCUUUCCGCUCAGCCCUCUUGUGGCAUACGAGUAGAAUUCACUUUGAUUAAUUAAUUACAUAUUAGAUCUGGUUUAGCGUUUUAGAACCGCU
rnacentral:rRNA from 1 species